rnacentral:lncRNA from 1 species
GGAGAACGUCAGAAUUUAAACAGUGCUUUUGAGUAUGCUCUAGACUACAAGAAUGUCAAGGCUAAAAGGACAAUAAAUAUGACACUGCGGGUGCGUUUGGUUCGCGCUAUCUUUUAAAGAUUUCUAGUAAUCCAAUGGGAAUAAAAAAAUAUGACGGUGUUUGGCUAAACGCACUAAGUAAUCUAGUUGGUAAUAUCGGAUUCACUUGGGAAUAAGAUUCACUCCAAAAUACUAAUCUCAUUCCCUUGAGGGAGGUGGGUAUUCUUAUAUUAAUGGAUUGGGUAAUCAUAAUAUAUCUAAUCCUUUUUUUCCUUCCUACCCGCCGGCUAAUUGAUAUUAUUUUUUUUUACACUCUAACCUUAUAUCUCUCUCUAAACUUAUUUUUUUCUCUCUAAAAUUCAACUUUUUUUUCUCUCUCUAAACUAAGCUUUCUCUCUCUCUCUCUUUCUAAAAUUUCAACUCUCUCACUCCUUCUAAUUUCAACUAUAUUUUUCUUUCUAUUUUUUUAAUUAUACUUUCUCUCUCUAACUUAUACUCUCUCUCCUUUUUUUCUAAAAUGAUGUUGAAACUUUUGAUAACAUUAUCUAAAAUUAAAUAAAUAAAUAAAUAAAUAAAUUGUAUAUUUUUUGUAAUAUUAAAUAACAUGGCUAAUUAAUAUUACCGUGUGAACCAAACACAGGAAUUCUACAUUCUUAGUAAUAGGAUGAAUAGGAAUAAGAUUCUCGGAUAUCUUUUAUUCCUAGUAAUCUUUUAUAAUGCGAACCAAACGUACCCUGCAAGUUAUCUAAUUUUUUAAGAGCUUACAGACUAAUUUACAUCGGACUUAAAAAAUUUACGGAGGAAAAUAA